GAUGAACGCUGGCGGCGUGCUUAACACAUGCAAGUCGAGCGAGAAAUUUUAAAUUAACUCUUCGGAUGAUUUUUAAAAUGGAAAGCGGCGGACGGGUGAGUAACGCGUAGGCAACCUGCCUCAUACAAAGGGAUAGCAUCUGGAAACGGAUAUUAAUACCUUAUAACACCUUAGGUUCACAUGAACUCUAGGUCAAAGAUUUAUCGGUAUGAGAUGGGCCUGCGUCUGAUUAGCUAGUUGGUAGGGUAACGGCCUACCAAGGCGACGAUCAGUAGCCGACCUGAGAGGGUGAUCGGCCACACUGGAACUGAGACACGGUCCAG
rnacentral:rRNA from 1 species